rnacentral:lncRNA from 1 species
CUCAAGCAUCUCUAUUUGGGACCGGAGUCCCCCCAUCGCUGUCCCCUUUGGGGUCGGGGCUGUGCUGGGGCCAGCGUGGCCAGCUGUAACCGGACCCCCGGGCAGCCCUGACCCGCUCACGUAACGCCCUCUGCUUAUGCAAUGCCUCCCAGCGCUGCUAGAAGGGACAUCCAACACUGCCGCAAUUACCCGGCCCUUCAUCAGCCGCAACCAGGCUAAUUGGAUGGAGAACCGCUGGUGGGCUGGGGAAGGAGCGGCCAUCCCCCCCCCCCCCACCACCACCCUAUGGGUGUCCCCGUGCAAUUAGCGCCCACCGAACCCUCAUUAGAGGUCGGUGCCACCCCACGGCCGUGCUGUGCCCCCGAGCAUCCCCACGGCGCGGGCGCCACCACCCCUCAUCCCCAUCCCUGCAGCGCGGCGAUGCCCGAAGUAGCUGCCCCCCGUGACGUCUCCCAGCGCCCGGGCAGCAAAGCUGGGCUGUGGCACCUGGCUGCAGAGCCCCGACGCAGCUCGUCACACGAGGGAUGCUGAGCCCCACCGCAGAACUGCAGCGCAGCACAUGGGUGGGUGCUGCAGCUCAGAGCCCCAACACAGCUCGUGGUGUGAAGGACGCAGAGCCCUUCUGCAGAGCCCCGGCACAGCUCAUGACGUGAGUGACGCUGAGCCCCACCGCAGAGCCCCGGCGCAGCUCGUGACAUGAGGGAUGCAGAGCCCUGCAGCAGAGCCCCGACCCACCUCAUGACACGAGCGAUGCGACACCGAGCCCCGACGCAGCUCAUCACACGAGGGACACCACUCUCCCCCCACCUCCCCCCGCACGGCUUUGGGGUUUGGGCCCCCCCGGCCCCCCCUCUCCCCGCACCGCCCCAAUCGUCUGCAGCGCCGUAAUGAGGAGAUAAACAGGAAGGAGCGGGGAGCCCCGAUGGGACACAUGAAAGCAGAGCAGGGCGAUGCGUGGGGGCUUUUCUUCCCACUUCUUUCUGCUGAAUCCCACAUUUUUCCUCCUCCCCCCUCCCCUCUCCCGCUCCAUUAAUGAGGUUUUGCUGCAGAAGUCUCUGUCUCGGCCUUGAGUUAAUCUCCAGAUGCCUUCAAAGGGGUUCUGUUCCCGUUCUCUUCCUUCCCCCCCUCCCCGUAUCCAUCGCUUCGAGAUGCUGAGCUGCAGCCCAACCCCUCCAUCCCAUCCAUGCUGCAGCCCCUCCCCAUGGGGACAGCCAUAGGGACAGCCAUAGGGACAGCCAUAGGGACA